GACGAACGCUGGCGGCGUGCUUAACACAUGCAAGUCGAACGGAAAGGCCCUGCUUUUGUGGGGUUCUCGAGUGGCGAACGUGUGUGUAACACUUGAGUAUCCUUCCCUUUACUUUGUGAUAUCUUCAUGAAACUGGUGCUAAUACCUGAUAUGAGCUCCUGCUGCAUGGUGUUGUUUGGAAAUUUUCGGCGGUUGGGGAUAGACUGGCGGCUUAUCAGCUUGUUGGUUGGGUAGUUGCUUACCAAGGCUUUGAAGGGUAGCCGGCCUGAGAGGGUUAACGGCGACAAUGGGACUGAGAUAGGGAACAGAAGACAACGGGAGGCAGCAGGGGGGAAUAGUGCACAAUGGGAGGAAGCGUGAGGAAGAAAAGCAGCGAGAGGGAAGAAGGCCUAGGGGUUGUAAACAGAAGUAGAAUGAGAAGAAGAGGGAGUGACGGUAAUGGGUAAAGAAGCACCGGCUAACUACGUG
rnacentral:rRNA from 1 species